rnacentral:misc_RNA from 1 species
CCCCAUCCAGGCUCCAGUUGAUAGUGCCUCCCCUUGGCACAGAUUUGUCUCAAAGUAGCAGCCAUGCCCACUGCUUUUCCAAUUCCAGCUACCACGCACUGGCAUGUGGGGGGCCUGCCACCAGCCAGGCCAGCACUCUGGACAGGAACAGCCCCACCAAGCUCAGUAACAAGUCCCUUGACAGAGACACAGCAGGCUGGACCCCCUACAGCUAUGUGAACGUGUUAGACUCCCAUUUCCAGAUCAGUGCCCUGGAGGCCAGGUACCCGCCCGAGGACUUCUACAUUGAACUUAGACACCUCAGCCGCCCCGCUGAGCCACACUCACCAG